rnacentral:rRNA from 1 species
AACGAACGCUGGCGGCGUGCUUAACACAUGCAAGUCGAACGAUGAAACCUAGCUUGCUAGGUCGAUUAGUGGCGAACGGGUGAGUAACACGUGACUAACCUGCCCCUUUCUCUGGGAUAACGCUCCGAAAGGAGUGCUAAUACCGGAUACUCACAUCGAGGCACAUGCCUUGAUGUGGAAAGUUUUUCGGAAAGGGAUGGAGUCGCGGCCUAUCAGCUUGUUGGUGAGGUAACGGCUCACCAAGGCGACGACGGGUAGCCGGCCUGAGAGGGCGACCGGCCACACUGGGACUGAGACACGGCCCAGACUCCUACGGGAGGCAGCAGUGGGGAAUAUUGCACAAUGGGCGCAAGCCUGAUGCAGCGACGCCGCGUGAGGGAUGAAGGUCUUCGGAUUGUAAACCUCUUUCAGUAGGGACGAAGCGAAAGUGACGGUACCUAAAGAAGAAGCACUGGCUAACUACGUGCCAGCAGCCGCCGUAA